AAGGGCACCACAAGAACGCGUGGAGCAUGUGGCUUAAUUUGACUCAACGCGGGAAAUCUUACCGGGUCCGGACACACUGAGGAUUGACAGGCAAUAUUAAAAUAGUAUCUUUUUUUUAUUAUUUUAUGUUAAAUAUGCUAGUCCUUUCAUGAUUAUGUGAUAGGUGGUGCAUGGCCGUUCUUAGUUCGUGGAGUGAUCUGUCUGCUUAAUUGCGUUUCACUAAGGGCUUAUAAAUUUACGUGUGUUUGCAACACUUUGACCCCUACAUUUUAUGUAGCGCGUUGUCUUAGUGUUUUUGCUCGCACAAUUAAGUCCUGAAAGCAACGAACGUGACCGCAACCUCUUGUUGCCUCUUGCUCAAUCCUUAAGGAUUAAUUUUUAAUGAUUUAUUUUGUUAAUUAUUUUUUUUUUAAGAAAAAGGGGCUUUUUAAACUAGAGGGUCCGCUGU
rnacentral:rRNA from 1 species